GACGAACGCUGGCGGCGUGCCUAAUACAUGCAAGUCGAGCGAAUGAAUGGGAGCUUGCUCCUGUUCGUUAGCGGCGGACGGGUGAGUAACACGUGGGCAACCUGCCUGUAAGACUGGGAUAACUUCGGGAAACCGGAGCUAAUACCGGAUAGUUUCUUUCUUCACAUGAAGAAGGAUGGAAAGACGGUUUCGGCUGUCGCUUACAGAUGGGCCCGCGGCGCAUUAGCUAGUUGGUGAGGUAACGGCUCACCAAGGCGACGAGGCGUAGCCGACCUGAGAGGGUGAUCGGCCACACUGGGACUGAGACACGGCCCAGACUCCUACGGGAGGCAGCAGUAGGGAAUCUUCCGCAAUGGACGAAAGUCUGACGGAGCAACGCCGCGUGAGUGAAGAAGGUUUUCGGAUCGUAAAACUCUGUUGUCAGGGAAGAACAAGUACCAGAGUAACUGCUGGUACCCUGACGGUACCUGACCAGAAAGCCACGGCUAACUACGUGCCAGCAGCCGCGGUAAAAC
rnacentral:rRNA from 1 species